UACGUAGGGGGCAAGCGUUGUCCGGAAUUAUUGGGCGUAAAGAGCGUGUAGGCGGCCAGAUAAGUCCGCUGUGAAAUCUCGAGGCUCAACUUCGAGCUGUCGGUGGAAACUAUCUGGCUAGAGUCCGGAAGAGGAGAAUGGAAUUCCUGGUGUAGCGGUGAAAUGCGCAGAUAUCAGGAAGAACACCCGUGGCGAAGGCGGUUCUCUGGGACGGUACUGACGCCGAGACGCGAAAGCGUGGGGAGCGAACAGG
rnacentral:rRNA from 1 species